UACAGAGGUCUCAAGCGUUGUUCGGAUUCAUUGGGCGUAAAGGGUGCGUAGGCGGGCAGGUAAGUCCGUGGUGAAAUCUCUGAGCUUAACUCAGAAACUGCCAUGGAUACUAUUUGUCUUGAAUAUUGUGGAGGUAAGCGGAAUAUGUCAUGUAGCGGUGAAAUGCUUAGAUAUGACAUAGAACACCAAUUGCGAAGGCAGCUUACUACACAGUUAUUGACGCUGAGGCACGAAAGCGUGGGGGAUCAAACAGG
rnacentral:rRNA from 1 species